AAAAGUCGUAACAAGGUCUCCGUUGGUGAACCAGCGGAGGGAUCAUUACUGAGUUUACGCUCUAUAACCCUUUGUGAACAUACCUAUAACUGUUGCUUCGGCGGGUAGGGUCUCCGCGACCCUCCCGGCCUCCCGCCUCCGGGCGGGUCGGCGCCCGCCGGAGGAUAACCAAACUCUGAUUUAACGACGUUUCUUCUGAGUGGUACAAGCAAAUAAUCAAAACUUUUAACAACGGAUCUCUUGGUUCUGGCAUCGAUGAAGAACGCAGCGAAAUGCGAUAAGUAAUGUGAAUUGCAGAAUUCAGUGAAUCAUCGAAUCUUUGAACGCACAUUGCGCCCGCCAGCAUUCUGGCGGGCAUGCCUGUUCGAGCGUCAUUUCAACCCUCAAGCUCUGCUUGGUGUUGGGGCCCUACAGCUGAUGUAGGCCCUCAAAGGUAGUGGCGGACCCUCCCGGAGCCUCCUUUGCGUAGUAACUUUACGUCUCGCACUGGGAUCCGGAGGGACUCUUGCCGUAAAACCCCCCAAUUUUCCAAAGGUUGACCUCGGAUCAGGUAGGAAUACCCGCUGAACUUAAGCAU
rnacentral:rRNA from 1 species